rnacentral:rRNA from 1 species
GAAACGACUGCUAAGACUGGAUAGGAAGAUAAAAGGCAUCUUGCUAUCUUUUAAAAGACCUAGUAAUAGGUAUGCUUUAGGAGGGGCUUGCGCCAUAUUAGUUAGUUGGUAGGGUAAUGGCCUACCAAGACGAUGAUGUGUAGCUGGACUGAGAGGUUGAACAGCCACAUUGGGACUGAGACACGGCCCAAACUCCUACGGGAGGCAGCAGUAGGGAAUUUUCGGCAAUGGAGGAAACUCUGACCGAGCAACGCCGCGUGAAUGACGAAGUACUUCGGUAUGUAAAGUUCUUUUAUCGAGGAAGAAAAGCAAAUGGCGAACCAUUUGUUUGCCGGUACUUGAUGAAUAAGCCCCGGCUAAUUAUGUGCCAGCAGCCGCGGUAAGACAUAAGGGGCAAGUGUUAUCCGGAAUUAUUGGGCGUAAAGGGUGCGUAGGCGGUCUAGUAAGUCAGUGGUGUAAUGGCAACGCUUAACGUUGUCCGGCUAUUGAAACUGCUAAACUUGAGUUAGAUAGAGGCGAGUGGAAUUCCAUGUGUAGCGGUAAAAUGCGUAAAUAUAUGGAGGAACACCAGAGGCGUAGGCGGCUCGCUGGGUCUUAACUGACGCUGAGGCACGAAAGCGUGGGGAGCAAACAGGAUUAGAUACCCUGGUAGUCCACGCCGUAAACGAUGAGUACUAAGUGUCGGGUUAAACCGGUACUGAAGUUAACACAUUAAGUACUCCGCCUGAGUAGUACGUACGCAAGUAUGAAACUUAAAGGAAUUGACGGGACUCCGCACAAGCGGUGGAUCAUGUUGUUUAAUUCGAAGAUACCCGAAAAACCUUACCAGGUCUUGACAUGUUUUUGCAAAAUGAUAGUAAUAUCGUGGAGGUUACCAGAAACACAGGUGGUGCAUGGUUGUCGUCAGCUCGUGUCGUGAGAUGUUAGGUUAAGUCCUAAAACGAGCGAAACCCUUAUCGUUAGUUGCCAGCACGUUAUGGUGGGGACUUUAACGAGACUGCCAAUGAUAAAUUGGAGGAAGGUGAGGAUCCCGUCAAAUCAGCAUGCCCCUUAUGACCUGGGCUACAACGUGAUACAUGGCUGUUACAAAGGUAGCUGAAACCAAGUUCUUGGCAAUCCCCAAAAACAGUCCCAGUCCGGAUUGAAGUCUGCAACUCGACUUCAUGAAGUUGGAAUCGCUAGUAAUCGCGAAUCAGCAUGUCGCGGUGAAUACGUUCGCGGGGUUUGUACACACCGCCCGUCAA